rnacentral:piRNA from 1 species
UUGAUACAUAUAUCUAUAAUA